AGUCCAUUCUCCUCCUCUCAAAAUGGAUACCAAGUCUUCUAGACCGCUCCCAAAUUCCUCGCCACCGACCCUCCCCUCUCUUUCCCAGUGACAGCCGGAUUUGAAUUGGGCGAGGAUCCAUCCCCACCUGAGCUCAGAGCUCCCGCAACCAUAGCCGCCCGUAGACAGAGCUCGGAGCUCCCGCAGCCAUGGCUGACCGUAGACAGAGCUCUGCCAUCUGGAUCUCGCGUCACCGCUCUCCUCUGCUGCCUCUCGGACUUCCCUCGCUCUGGAUCCAGUCCAGCAAGAGCCCAGCCUCGCCGCCAAGUCCAUCGCCGCUGCCUGCGUCCUAUGUCCCGACAGCAAGCGCCGCCGCAUCGGUCCCCCUGCUCGACUGGAUCGGCUCUCCUCCAGCAUGUGACCCAGGGUCGCAUGCAUGGUGGGAUGCGCCAGCCUGCCGUCCUGCCCCGCAGCCCGAGGCCCAUGAGGUGAGGCAGCCGCCCCUCCUCUCCUGACGAGGGAGCUGGAGAAGAAGCUGCGGGACCAAAGGCUGCUGCAGGAUGAGAUACUGUGCUGCUGCUGUGUUUGGUGGUUGAAGAAGGGGUGUGCUGGGAAGAGGACUUAGUGUUGAGAGUGCUCGAUCUAGAACAGGACAAGCUUGGGCUGCACCGGUGUGUUUGCUGUUGCUGAAUUUUUCCGGGGCAUUGCAGAUGCGGAGGAGUUUUUCUGGGGCGAUCUGCUUGUUCCCGGCCACGCUGGUGUCAACUACCUCGAGCCACUAUGACCACCCCCAACCACGCUCACCCCCCGAACAAAUUGUUUGUUGAUCAGCAAAGGGGGAUUCAAUUAAUUUUCAAUUGUAGAAGAAGGGAGAAGGAGGAUUCAAUUGAUUUUCCUCCUCAUGAUCAAAAGAAAAAAAAUAUCUUUGCCGUGAUGAUAGACGGGGUUCAUGUUAAUACACAGACUACUGGGAACAAUAAACAAUUCUAGAUGGAAAGCACCUGACUUGUGAAACCUAGCGCCGCCAGUUUCCCUGCCAUGUAUUGCCGUCACCGGAGGGGCCGACCGACGAAGCUUGGCUGGCUCCCGGGAUGGCGGCGGCGGGGCGCUUUUCGGGCUUGUGCGCGGCGCCGGUGAGCGCGGCGUUGGCCGUUGGAUUGAGCGUAGUUCCCCACGUGGGCUGCUGGAUCUGGCGGCGGCAGCUGCCUCGAUGGAGAUUGUGAUUGUUCGUAGUAGAAUGUAUGCACGACACAUGAAUCUUGGAUUCUAUAUUUUUUCCUUGAUGUUUGGGCUUCCUCGAACUUUUUGUAUAUUGCACACAACACAACACAUAAAUUCAUGGAUACUAAAUUUUUAAAUGAUUUGAAGUCAUGUUGUUUUCUAUUCUACUGUCAUUGGUUCAUCACUCUGAACCAAAAUCAAUUGUUGGAACUCUGGCAUAUAUUGGUCCUAAAGUUACGCUGAAGAAAGAAUAUGAUGCAAGCUAUGAUCCAUCCUAUUUGUGAUUUAAACGGUCUGCUGCAUACUCUGCCAUCUGCUGCAUAACUUAAUUCUGUUUGCUCGGCCAUAAAAACCUUACUUGCCAUGAGUGGUGAAUGGUCUUGAGGAGUAAUCAUUUAGAUACUGUAUGUUUUUUGCUCAAGCACUAAUAUUAUGUCUUUGAACAACCUAUGCAUGGAUGUGGGAUAACCCUUUCUGUGAUGUUGGUUGGUGCUUACCCUCUCGAGGAUCCAGAAGAUCCAAAAAAAGGAAAUUCAGGUAUGUUGCCAGUUGCUAAGUUUAUCAAUUCAAAAGUUGUAAGUUCUAGCCAAAAAAUAAAUACAGAGCUCAAAUUGCAGAAAGUAUUGAGUGUUCAGUACUGGAUUUUAGGCUAUGUUCAUAUCUCUAGAGUGCCGAGACCUUAUCUCAGGGAUGUUUUUUGGUAACACGAUCUCGACAUCGAUACCAUUAGAGAGAUAAUAUACGCCUUAUAAUCUUGUAAUUAUAUGUGGAGAAGUAGUUGUGGUGUUCCUUCCACCUUUAUGAAUUAGUCUGUGAAGAGGUGAAUAGUUAGGAGCCCCAUGGAGCCAAACAAAGAUUAUGUUCAGGCUACAGAUUAUAUUCAUACUACAGCUUGAGUCUGAAUUUGUGUCGAUACAUGAAAAUGUCAUGUGUUCCAAGAAAAGUAUGUUUAGAUGCAAAACCAAUUUUGGUGUGCAUUUCUUAUUUAUUCAUUUUUGAGUUGGAUGUGUGCAUUUCUAAUUAGAAGUAGAAGAAGAAAUAUGUGACAUGGACUUCCUAAGAUUACAUACACAUCUUUGAAUAGUAUAGUUAGAAAAAUAGUAAUAAAAUUCAAAAAUGUUACUUCUUUUGGCGACAAAUAUGCUGGAGUGUGAUAGCUGUGCGUAGGAUUUCGUGAAGGAAUAACAUAAAUGGUGGUCUGGACAAACGAAAAUUGACUAUUUUUUAAAGCUUCUUGGAGCAUUUAUUUUGUUUAAUUUUGUACAAAGCAUCACAAGUAUUUUUUUCUUCAUCAAAUUUUGCACACAACCAAAAAAAUGUAAUUUUGUUGGGGAGCAGGAUUGCACAUCUCACGGAAUAUAAAGAUAUCAAUAUGGUUAGACACGAGACCUACUCCUGCACAGUUCAAUCUCAACAUGCAUCUUGUUGUUCCGUGCAACGCACGGACAUCUUACUAGUAUGUGAUUAAUACCAUAGUUCACAUCGCCAUGUGACCAACACCCAAAGGGUUUACUAGAGUCAAUAAUCUAGUUCACAUCGCUAUGUGAUUAACACCCAAAGAGUACUAAGGUGUGAUCAUGUUUUGCUUGUAAGAGAAGUUUAGUCAAUGGGUCUGCCACAUUCAGAUCCAUCUGUAUUUUGCAAAUUUUCUA